GGGGAGGGGAGUUCUGUAAAUCAAGUUUUCACAAUCAAAAAUCCAGUUUAUGAUUUAAGCUUAUAUAAGCUUAUAUAGAGUGACAGAGUAAAGCAGCAAUGUGACUGAAUUCUCAGGAGCUACAAUUCUAGAACAUUACACAUUGUUACAGGUAGAGCAUUGGUAGAUGAUUUCAUAAGGCUGCUGGAAUGAAGAUAGCUGGAUGACAUAUUAGUGACAGUUCACAUUCUAAAACCAUUUAUCCUUCCUUCUGUUUUCCUGAAGCAUGGCCCUGUCUUUGCUCUGAGCUCUUUUAGGUGCUUGCUUGGACAACUGCAGCUAUGCAAAGAACCCAGAAACGGAAGCUUUUGCAACAUGCUUCAGGAUGUCUACAUUGUAGCAGGGGUGUGAAUGCAGCCCAUACAAACACUCCCGUUACCUGGACUCCAAUUUGCAGCAAGCUAGUUGAAGUGUACCUUCUCAAAUGGACGCAUGUAAUUGUGUGGCCAGGGCUGCAGCUAUUUUAAACCAGCUAGCUAGAAUACAGCCAGCAGGCACGCAUCUACACAAGCUGCUAUUCACACCUAUGGUUGCAGCAUACACAUACCACUACUAAGUGACACAAAGCUGGUGUCAUCCUGAGCAAAGAUGCUCGAGUACAUGAGCUCUAGUUUCAACAGAUUAAAAGCCAGAAUUCCCUUCAAAGCAAAGGCCAGAAGUCACUUCCCUACAAGUGACACUAGCCCUAUGCAAGCUAGAAUUAUGCAGAAGAUUGAACAGCCCCUUGAUUUUGCAUUAGCUUAGAUCUCUUUACUUUAUGAUGCCAUUAAAGGGAUUAAUUUAAAUGAUCUGUUUCAGGCUGACAUUUACAGCAGACUAUGGAAACUUUAUACAAGACACUCAAACCCAGAAGGUGAGCAUGGUUUAGUUCUGCUCAUCAUUGAAGGAGCAAGUAUAGAAAUGCCCAAGUCUGCCAAGUGUAAGAGUUACCGUGCCUGCUAUCAAGACUCAUACAUGCAAGAUUUUCCUGUAGCCCCCUGCAUAGAAAGCUCCAGAGGCUGCUAAUAUUUACAUGCAGAGAUGCAUAACCAAGGACACUGAGUGAGAGAUGAGACAACUGGAACAAAUUUAGACCAAAAGCAGUGGACAUUUAUUCCUCAUUUGUGCAAGAGUGUAAAGAUGCAUUUGAAAAUGGAUGGGACAGACCCCCGUGGCUGGAGAGCUGGCGGCUACAGCCUCUCCUUCAUUUUGAUGGCUUGGUUUACAAUUAUUCUAAAGGAGAUAAGUUUGCAGACUCACCUACUUCACAUGAAUGUUGCUGGCAAAUACACUUGUUUACAAAGUAAAAUUUCAAACUACAUUUUCACUAAGUUCAAGUGAAGACUUUGUUCAAAUAAAAGACACAUACAAGUACAAUUUAAAACCAUAUGAACAUUUGCAAAUGUUCAGUGCAAAGUAAGCAUGUAAAAGCUACAUUUUAUGAACAUUUGUGCUGAUGCGUGUUUGAUCAUUUUUACCCUUUUACAUCCAUUACUUUUAGUUACAUAAGGUUUCACUUACCUACAUAUGCAUUGUGUUAAGUCCCAUACAAGUGGGAAUAAUACCAUCAGGCUUUGUAAAAUGUUGCUCAGAUCCUCAUUAAGUAAACUGCUUUGUUGCUGGCACACUACAUAUCUUGAUUUCACAUAAGCGCUUAACCCUUAUGUUUGUCGUGUUCAGGUGCAUAGCCUUUAAGACAAACUGAAUUGCUUCAGGAUUCUAAAAUGCAGCUGUUUGUGAAUGCAGAUGUUUAAGGACAAGCCACCACUCAUUUUAGCCUGUAACAAACUGGUUUUAAAAUUAAAAGCCUAUUCACACAAAGUUAUAUGUAAUGACUGUAGUAAUCAGUUUAUUACACAGAUUAAUCAUUCUUGAACGUACAAGCCCCAGGGGAGCAGUUGGGUCUUUAAAUAUACACGAGUUUUCUGUCAAAUGAAUUUUUACCCUUACAUCCAGAAAGACCUAAGCAGUUAAAAAACUUAAGAAAAUAUGAGCUAUUAGCUAUGUAUUAACUGAGAAAACCACAUACAAACCAAAAAAAAAAAAA